UGACCAGCGGCGGGUCACGUGAUGCGGCACGCGCCGGGCCUCCCAAGUUGGCGGUUUGCAUCGCGGUGAUCGCCAAGGAGAAUUACCUCUUCUACAUUCGCAGCACCCCCACGGAGAACGAGCUGAAGUUCCACUACAUGGUGCACACAUCUCUGGACGUGGUGGAUGAGAAGAUCUCCGCAAUGGCGAAGGCCCUGGUCGACCAGAGGGAGCUGUACCUGGACCUGCUCUACCCCACGGAGGACUACAAGGUAUACGGCUACGUCACCAACUCCAAGGUGAAGUUUGUCAUGGUGGUGGAUUCCUCCAACACAGCCCUUCGAGACAACGAAAUUCGCAGCAUGUUCAGGAAGCUACACAACUCCUACACGGACGUGAUGUGCAACCCCUUCUACAACCCGGGGGACUGCAUCCAGUCCAGGGCUUUUGAUAACAUGGUGACGUCCAUGAUGAUACAGGUGUGCUGAAUGAGCUGUGCUGCCGGCCAUCGCAGAGGAUCCCACGCUCGACCGUAGUAGACAUCGGUCUGUUCUCGUCGCCUCUUCCUGAAUGGGACGCCUGGGGCUUUCAAGGCAGGCAGCUGUGCAUGUUCUCUCAACUAAAGGUCUUGUGAGAUGAGAUUUGGCUUUUUCCUUCCGUGUCAGCCAGGGAUUUAACUAAGAAGAAUUCAACUAAGGACUUUCAGGGGUGUGGGCAGAGGUUUGGGAUUAGAUGGUGCAGGAAGCCUGUCCCCAGUUGUCCCGAAGGGGCAGGGGCAAGGACGCCUGGAGCCAAGAGUUCCUGAGCCUGCAGGACCUGUGACCAUGUGGGUCGCCCAUUGGCUGAACAGGUGGACUGGUCUGGAGGGGGCGGCCUCCUGAGCCCAGAACCAGCCUAGGAUCUAGGGGCAAAAGGGGAGCCAGCGUGCCUUCCCACAGGGGAGGGCCCUCCUCUUUCUGGACUUGGCCUCCAUUCUUUGCAUCUGGCCCAACGUCUAGACUCAGCCCGGCCUGAAAAGAACCCUUGGGAAACCUGGGAAGCCUCGUGGCCCCGUGGCGUUGGCUCAGCUGCAGCCCUCAUCCUAAACCCUGGAGCGCAGACUUGAGGCGCCCCUUCCUGCCUGGGGUUAGGUGCUAUGUCGCUUGAUGACAUGGCUGACUACCACCCAGGGCAGCGGCCGAGCCCUUAGUGGUGUCAGUGCCGCCGGCAUCCUUGGGGUCCGGCAGUCAAGGCUCAGCCAGCUGAGGAGACAACCCCCCCACCCCCCGAGCUGGUUCCAGCACUGGUCCAGGACUGGAGAGUUUCUCAAGGACCUUGAAGACCCCAGGAGCCCCUGCAGCAGGAAAGGCUGUAAGGAGGUCAGCCUGGGGCACACACAGGGAGGGGAACUUUCUCGAUACAUAUUUAUUUGCCUUUUCAUCCCAUCCAGCAAGCACAGUGUUAAUUUUAUAAAUUAUAGAAGAAAUCAGCAAGGAGUGUGUGUGAAAACCGCAUGCCCCAGGCCUCCCCCGCCCCAGGGUGAAUUGGAAGUCCUGGCGUGGGCCGAGGCACACCAGGCAGCUGGUCUGGGUGCACGUGGGCCAUAGGCCACCCUCACAGGGUUAAAUCUGUAACAAGAGCCUCAUGUUUGUUAGAAGGUGAGUCCCCAGCCCAAGCACCUAGCACCUCCCCACUGCAGCCCAGUGUGAAAUCUUUGCCUUUUAGUGGGGAUCGCUCCUGCCUGAGUCCUGGCUGUGGUGGGGACUCUGCAAGUUGCUAACCCAGCAUCCAUUCUCCUUCCUCCCUACUAACAGAACUCCGGUGCCUCUGCACAGCUCUGACAGCGGGCAGAUGAGAACCAUGUCCUGGCCUCCCUCGCAGCCUGGGGUGUGCAGCUGUGGCAUGGAGGUGGGUGGUGCUAGGAGAGACUUUCGGGGAAGCUCCUGUGAAGGGGGCUCAGCUGCCAGGUGCAGGGCCCUUCCCCUUUGCCUUCUUCCUGUCUGGAAAAUGGAUGUGAUGGCUGGUGCUGGGACAGCUGUCCUGAGAGCAUGAGGAAAGAGUCACACCCUGAGGACAGUGGAGCUGACACAGAACGCGGGAAGGACCCUGGGCCUUUGCUGACGCAGAACGCGGGAAGGACCCUGGGCCUUUGCUGAGGUACCAGCCCCGGACUACUUAAGUUCAGCUUUUUUUAAAUGUGAGAAAAUAAAUGCACCCCUCUCUGGUUUAAACCAC